AGAACGAACGCUGGCGGCAGGCCUCAAACAUGCAAGUCUAGGGGAUAGCAAUAUCACCGGCGGACGGGUGCGUAACGCGUGGGAAUGUACCUAUUGGUUCGGAACAACACAGGGAAACUUGUGCUAAUACCGAAUGUGCCCGUAAGGGGAAAGAUUUAUCGCCAAUAGAUCAGCCCGCGUUCGAUUAGCUAGUUGGUGAGGUAAUGGCUCACCAAGGCGACGAUCGAUAGCUGUUCUGAGAGGAAGAUCAGCCACACUGGGACUGAGACACGGCCCAGACUCCUACGGGAGGCAGCAGUUGGAAUCUUGGACAAUGGGGGAAACCCUGAUCCAGCCAUGCCGCGUGAGUGAUGAAGGCCUUGGGUUGUAAAACUCUUUCGCGCACGACGAUAAUGACGGUAGUGCGAGAAGAAGCUCCGGCUAACUUCGUGCCAGCAGCCGC
rnacentral:rRNA from 1 species